UCCCUUUCCCUUUGUGAAUCAUCAUCAAUCAUCAUGGCUAGGCUUCGUGAACGAAGAUUUGGGGAGGGCUCUACCCCCAUUUGCUACAAGCGCACU